rnacentral:pre_miRNA from 1 species
AACGAGAAAUAGGGCGAGAAUUCUAGGCAAAUGACUUGGAGUUACAUCUAUCCAGACCAAUUGAAGGGCAUUAGCAUAGAAUUCUCGCACCUAUUCCUUGUUC